UAUUGUACAUUUAGCUCAUUUUGUAAAUCCCAUUGAUUUCUGUUGGAAGACUCAUUGCUUCUUCAAAUUUGGUUGUAGUCUUUUCGCUCGGUUCUAGCCCUACUGUUGAGUCGGAGAACAGAGCGAAAAGACUACAACCAAACGUAAACAGCCCCCAUUUACGUUUCCGGCCAACAAGCAAUGAUUCUAGGAGGUAUUCUAGUCCGCUGAGCUAUGAGCCAGCGGGAGAUAACGUUAUGGAUUGUACAUAUUUAUAAUUCGAAAUUCGUCUCAGCCUUUAUACCACAGACACUCUAGGGUCCAUAGCAUAUAACCGUGUUGUCUGAUUACAGUUUGAUUCAUUUUUCACUAUUUAACAGAUCUCGUUCUGAAGAAUAAUCACCGCGCCAUUCGUUUCAAUGGGAAUCGGGACGGUCUAUACUUUCAACAUAAAGUGUAUUUAUAUUUUUUAAUUCGUCCCAGCCUUUACACCACAGACACUAUAGGGUCUAUAGCAUAUAACCGCAUUUUCUGAUUGCAGUUUAAUGUAACAGUAAGCUGACAACGCCGCAACUGCAAAUGAAACACACGGAGAUAACCAUGGCAACCGGUCAAACAAAUCAUUCUGCGCGCGCAUCCGCCGUUUUGAUAAACAAAUAACCCCCCAAUUGAACGAAGUUAAACCGAGUGCGCGUGCCGUUCACAGACACCAGAAUGAACGAGUUCACAGUAACGUUCAUCAGGCAGUAAUACAGUACGUUCAGUUCACGUUCGCCGAAAAUAUGAACGAGUUCAUGAACUAUCGUUCAAUGAACGCGUUCAGGCACAACACUGUACA